GAUGAACGCUAGCGGGAGGCUUAACACAUGCAAGUCGAGGGGCAGCACGAGAUAGCAAUAUUUUGGUGGCGACCGGCGCACGGGUGAGUAACGCGUAUGCAACCUACCCUGUACAGGGGGAUAGCCCGGAGAAAUUCGGAUUAAUACCCCAUAAAGAUAUUUAGAGGCAUCUUUGGAUAUUUAAAGUUUCGACGGUACGGGAUGGGCAUGCGUAAGAUUAGCUAGUUGGUAGGGUAACGGCCUACCAAGGCUCCGAUCUUUAGGGGUCCUGAGAGGGUGAUCCCCCACACUGGUACUGAGACACGGACCAGACUCCUACGGGAGGCUG
rnacentral:rRNA from 1 species